rfam:Schistosoma haematobium scaffold675_20, whole genome shotgun sequence.
ACCCAACUGACGAGUCCCAAAUAGGACGAAACGCGCAUCCUGGAU